rnacentral:rRNA from 1 species
UACGUAGGGGGCAAGCGUUGUCCGGAAUCAUUGGGCGUAAAGAGCGUGUAGGCGGCUCGGUAAGUCCGCUGUGAAAGUCCAGGGCUCAACCCUGGAAUGCCGGUGGAAACUGUCGAGCUAGAGUCCGGAAGAGGCGAGUGGAAUUCCUGGUGUAGCGGUGAAAUGCGCAGAUAUCAGGAGGAACACCAAUGGCGAAGGCAGCUCGCUGGGACGGUACUGACGCUGAGGAGCGAAAGCGUGGGUAGCAAACAGG